rnacentral:rRNA from 1 species
UACGUAGGGUCCAAGCGUUAAUCGGAAUUACUGGGCGUAAAGCGUGCGCAGGCGGUUGUGCAAGACCGAUGUGAAAUCCCCGAGCUUAACUUGGGAAUUGCAUUGGUGACUGCACGGCUAGAGUGUGUCAGAGGGGGGUAGAAUUCCACGUGUAGCAGUGAAAUGCGUAGAGAUGUGGAGGAAUACCGAUGGCGAAGGCAGCCCCCUGGGAUAACACUGACGCUCAUGCACGAAAGCGUGGGGAACAAACAGG